rnacentral:sRNA from 1 species
GCUGGGCAUGGUGGCUCAUGCCUGUAAUCCCAGUACUUUGGGAGGCUGAGGCAGGUGGAUCGCUUGAGGUCAGGAGUUCAAGACCAGCCUGGCCAACAUGGCGAAACCCUGUUUCUA